GCCCCCGUAGCUCAGCAGGAUAGAGCGUCCCCCUCCUAAGGGGAAGGCCACACGUUCGAAUCGUGUCGGGGGCACCA
rnacentral:tRNA from 1 species